rnacentral:rRNA from 1 species
UCCCGUUGAUCCUGCGGGAGAUUGCUGCUAUCAGAGUUCGACUAAGCCAUGCAAGUCAGGGAUUCUUCGGAGUCCCGGCGAAUCGCUCAGUAACACGUUGAUAAUCUGCCCAUGGGUAAGGGAUAACCUCGGAAAACUGAGGACAAUACCUUAUCGGGGAAUAUGCCUGGAAUGGUUUUUCCCUUAAACCUUCGGCGCCCAUGGAUGGGACAGCGGCGGAUUAGGUUGUUGGUGGGGUAAUGGCCCACCAAGCCGAAGAUCCGUACGGGCCUUGAGAGAGGUAGCCCGGAGAGGGACACUGAGAAACUGGUCCCAGCCCUACGGGGUUCAGCAGGCGCGAAACCUCUACAAUGCGGGAAACCGUGAUAGGGGGACUCUGAGUGCUUAACUUACGUUAGGCUUUUGCCAAGAGUAAAAAUCUUGGAGAAUAAGUGGUGGGUAAGACUGGUGCCAGCCGCCGCGGUAACACCAGCGCCACAAGUGGGGAUCAUGUUUAUUUGGCCUAAAGCGUCCGUAGCCGGCCGGGUAAAUCUUUUGUGAAAUCAUCGGGCUCAACCCGAUGGCGUGCAGAAGACACUGCCUGGCUAGGAACCGGGAGGAGUCAGAGGUAUGGGAUGGGGAGCGGUAAAAUGCGAUAAUCCAUCUUAGACCACCUGUGGCGAAGGCGUCUGACCAGAACGGAUUCGACGGUGAGGGACGAAAGCCAGGGGAGCGAUCCGGAUUAGAUACCCGAGUAGUCCUGGCCGUAAACGCUGCGAGCUAGGUGUUGCAUAUUCUACGUGAAUAUGCAGUGUCGAAGCGAAGGCGAUAAGCUCGCCGCCUGGGAAGUACGGUCGCAAGACUGAAACUUAAAGGAAUUGGCGGGGGAGCACUACAAGGGGUGCGGCGUGCGGUUUAAUCUAACUCAACACAGAGAAUCUCACCGGGAGCGACGGCAGGAUGAAAGUCAGGCUGAAGACCUUACUAGACAAGCCGAGAGGUAGUGCAUGGCCGUCGUCAGCUCGUGUCGUAAGAUGUCCUGUUAAGUCAGGCAACGAGCAAGACCUGUACCUAUAAUUGCCAGCGAGCCCUUUUCGGCGAUCGGGCACAUUAUAGGAACUGCCCUGGAAACAGGGAGGAAGGUGCAGGCAACGGUAGGUCUGUAUGCUCCGAAUCCCCCGGGCUACACGCGCGCAACAAUGGUAAGGACAAAGGGAUGCCACUCCGAAAGGAGAAGCUAAACCUCUAAACCUUAUCCAAGUACAGAUUGAGGGUUGUAACUCACCCUCAUGACGAUGGAAUCCCUAGUAAUCGGAUGUUAUCAACGUCCGGUGAAUAUGUCCCUGCUCCUUGCACACACCGCCCGUCAAACCACUCGAGCAGGGUUUAGGUGAGCCUAGUCUUUUUUUGGGCUAUGCGAAUCUAAGCUCAGCGAGAUGGGUUAAGUCGUCACAAGGUA